ACCGCUCAGAGGAGAGGAGUUCUCAUUUCUUUAAAUGUCUGCUGCUUCCCCUCCUCUCUCAUCGGUCCCCCUCCUCGGUCCUCCGCUCGCAUCUCCUGUGGGCGGGACUAAGUCUCGAGGAGGGGAAAUUUAAGAAUUGAGAAGCCUCUUAGGUUACUUCCCUUAAGAGCUAGCUGUCUUAGCUAACAACAGUUAGCAGCUAACGUUUUCUGCAGUUUGUGUUUCCACUGAAAAACGUGAUGUAGUUAUUUAAGGGCUUUGCAUUUGAACUCCUAUGACUGGUUACACUCUUGAAGGGAACGACUUCCUGGCCUUCCUGACAUCCAGGAAAAAGGUGAGAUUCUAAUCCAUUUCAAUGCCAACAGCAAGUCAUUGUUUUUCAAUAUGAUUUUUUUGGGGAAUUUCUGUUGUAUUGGAUAGUAGAAAUCUACUGGAACCUAACACCAGAGAGAGAGGGAGGAGAUGAUAUGCAGCAAAAGGCUCCAUGUGGAACGUGUUCUAUCAGAAAGGAUCAUGCCAGCCCACAUCAAACACCUGAUCAAGAACUUGUGAAUCUUCAGGCAGAAAAGAUGAAAACACCUUUUCAAAGUUCCAGUUUCCUGUACAUGGAACCAUGCCUGUCCUCUGUUCCACAUGUCUUCAGUCAGUCCUGGUGCCUGUACUACGAAACAGGAUUUUCGCUUAGCUGGCUAACUUCAGGGAAAACUCUGGGUUUCCGGUCCUACGAAGCUGGUUCUCUUUUUAGCAGGCUAGCUCUCCAUGGUAACUUAUGCUGAGCGGCUAACCUGUUCGGGAGCAGGUUAGGUUGCAGGCUAAGAGAUCGAUUCAGUGAAAGC